rnacentral:rRNA from 1 species
AGCGAACGCUGGCGGCAGGCCUAACACAUGCAAGUCGAACGGACCCUUCGGGGUUAGUGGCGGACGGGUGAGUAACACGUGGGAACGUGCCUUUAGGUUCGGAAUAGCUCCUGGAAACGGGUGGUAAUGCCGAAUGUGCCCUUCGGGGGAAAGAUUUAUCGCCUUUAGAGCGGCCCGCGUCUGAUUAGCUAGUUGGUGAGGUAACGGCUCACCAAGGCGACGAUCAGUAGCUGGUCUAGAGGAUGACCAGCCACACUGGGACUGAGACACGGCCCAGACUCCUACGGGAGGCAGCAGUGGGGAAUCUUGCGCAAUGGGCGAAAGCCUGACGCAGCCAUGCCGCGUGAAUGAUGAAGGUCUUAGGAUUGUAAAAUUCUUUCACCGGGGACGAUAAUGACGGUACCCGGAGAAGAAGCCCCGGCUAACUUCGUG